ensembl:snRNA U6 U6 spliceosomal RNA
GUGCUUGCUUCAGCAGCACAUCUACUAGAAUUGGAACAAUACAGAGGUUAGCAUGGCCCCAGCGCAAGGAUGACAUGCAAAUCUGCAAAGCAUUCCAUAUUUUU